CUAUUCAAGCGUUGAUAGGCAUGGUAAUGGACCUAUAGUAUUGGAGAAAAGUUGAAAAAACGGACCCUCCGUUACAUCUAGACGUGUCAUGUAACGUAUAGCAGGCAUAAAGCAACUAUUUCUGUCUUACAAUCUCUCUCCACCAGGUGUAGCACUUCUCUCAUCGUUUAAAAACAAGAAAUGGACAGUGACGGUGGUAAAGGGGGGAUACCUAGUCAUUUUUUCCGUCUUCAUUGCGUGCCAUCAUCAUUCUCAAAGCCGCAGUUUACUUCUAAGAUCACUUUAGCACCGCCCUAAAAACCCGAUUCAAACUCGACACAAACUUUCAAAUAGGUAUGUAAUGACACAUUAUAUAAACUCUUUAUAGUGUUUUAUUUAAAAUUUUUAGAGGCGAUAAGUUCCCACACGACAUCUGUCCUUCUCACUAUCACGCAUUAGUUUCGCUUCCCCACCCGCCAUAAAAAAAAAAAAGAAGACCCGAAGGGGCUCAUUGAUUGAAUUAUGCAGAAACGGGCAGUGUUUAGGUCCUGUAAUUGAUUUUGUUGGAAAGGAGAGAAAUCGUGCAUUGCAAUGGUAUUGACAUUACAGUCUAUCUGGAAGUAUUACGUUUUUGGGGAACUAAAAUAAGGGCAAUUGUAGGGACCAAGGCGAAGUACGAGUUUACGUUAGUCAGUUAACGUUAUUUCUGGUUUUGUAGGUAAAGCAAGGCAGGCUAGCUAACGUUAGCUAGCUAGCUGUUAGCCUACAACUCGGAUUUGCAAGUUUGUUCGUAUGUCAUAAAAGUGUAUUGUCUUGGGCAAAACUAAAUAAUGGAUGCAGCUAUGGUGGUAGCUAACUCACGUCUGAGUCUGACUAAUACAGUGAAGUAGGAGCAACAAACCAUAACGGCGUCUAGAGAUGCAGUUGGUCUACAUCUGUAAAGCAUAGAAUUAGCUUGACCCGCGUUACUACCCUGAUGACACAGACGUCUUCAUCAACAACAGUAAUGUGUGUUAUGUAAAAAGUUGUAUAAAAAAUACCUGGUUUCAUAAACUAGUAGGUUAAUUACCCAGCCAAGCAGAUUCAAGUAGUAGAGUCAUUUUGGUUGAGAAGUGCAUUAUCAAAACGCCUCGUCCAUUCUUUAUAACAAAAUGCAAUUUACCACUUGGCUGUCUAUUGUAUCAUCCUGUCACAAGCUCUUUCAGUCAACAACACCUAAUGAGGAAUUACAUUGUUUAUGAGGAUUGCCUGCUGCAGUUGUUCGAGAGAUGUCUUGUUUGUAGCUGAACAUUCAACAUAGAGAAGACCAGCAAGGGGACCCUCAGCAUCACACAGACAUGCCCUCGCUGUGAGCAUUCCUAUAAAUGGAACAGGGAGGACACUUGAAUCAGGUUGGAGUUUCGAGUUUUGUCCCAAUUCACCUUCAUAACCUAGCCUGGUGGAAUCAGUCUGAUUGCUGCGUUUACCACAUGAUAUCUGAAGUGAAACAGAAAGUUGAAUACAGUGAUGAGGUUGGUUCCACCAUGCUAAUCAGAAGCACCAUUGAUAAUGUAAUCAGUGCUCUGUGUGUGUGUGAACGAUCAGUAUCUUUGAUGAGGGGCCAGUAAUGGGCCGCUGGCAAAGACCUUACCUCUAGCCUUAACUCUUGCCUGCUCACCAAUGGUCCACAAUGUGGAGGUCAGAAUUAGGUAGGUUUAGUCUAACUGCCAUUGGUAAUAGAACUGUGACUGUGUAUGUGUUCACGAUACAGAACCAUGACUGUAUGUGUUCACAAUACGUUUAUGGAGCCUGCACCUGGAGACUUGCAAGAUGAUGUGAUGGAAUCCUGACCGACAGACAGGCUUGAUACUGACUUCGCUGAAUGGAGAGACACCUGGCACUCAACACAUCCACAAUGUGGUUCUGAAGAUGAAGAGUACUAAAGAUGCUUUUGCCAGACGCCAGCCUCGGUCGUUUGAUAGAGGGACCAUAAUUGGGUAGGUUUUAUCUGACCUGUUCAAACUUCAACACAGUACCUGUUUUUCUGUCAGAUACUGUAUUACCUAUCCUAUCUGCCAUUGGUAAUAGAACAGUGUGACGGUGUUCACAGAAACAUGUAUAGAGACAGCACAUGGAAACUUGCAAGAUGUGAUGAAGUCCAGACUGACAGACGGGCUUAAUACUGAUGCCUCCAAAUGGAGAGAGACCUGACACGGCAUUAAAGUUUUACUACACACAACUUGUACUUCUAUUGUUUUUAAAAAUGAUUUAAUAGAAUGGUAUCAGUCAAUAUGGGGAGGGAGAAACCUUGUGUAUUCUGCACCAGGAUCAGGGAACUCCGGUUGUAUACUGAACACCACACAGGAAGAUAUGACAACUCUGACAUGUUUGCCAAGGUAACCCAUUCACCACCAGACAAAAUGCCAAUAGGCACAGUAUCUGUAUCGGCUGGGAAUGACAAUGGAAGCUGAAAGCUGCACAUUGUUAUAUUAGCAGAACUAUGGUAUUAGGGAAUGGGUUGUUUAUUCUACAUGGAUCUGUUACUACAUUUGAAAGUUAUCAAAACUCUUAGCUUAGAAUAUCUACAUAAUUCAGCAAUUGCAUUCUCAUAUUACUCCGUAGGCUACUGACCUAUUCAAAGCUUCCUCUGGCAUCUCACCAUACAUCUGCCUGGAGUUAUUGAACUCAACCUGCAAGAGGGUUGUUUGAUGGAUGCUACCAUGACUACAGAUAAUCCUGAAUAAAUUGUGAAUAACGAUGAGUGAGAAAGUAACAGACGCACAAGUAUCAUACUUCCAAGACAUGCUGACAUCUCACCAUUACAAUAACAGCGGAGGUUAGCAUUUUUGGGGGGUAUGACAUUUGUGCGUCUGUAACGUUCCCAGCUGGCAAUGAGGAAUCGGCCCAGGAGCGGUCCUCUUCCGGGGAACCGGAACUGAUUGGAUUGGCUCGGAACAGCGUGAUGGGACAAGGACAUCCCAAACCCCCAUAACUCGGACGACGCUGGGCCAAUUGUGCAUCGCCUCAUGGGUCUCCCGGUCGCGGCCGGCAUGGGUAUCGAACUAGCAUCUGUAGCAACGCAAUUUGCAAUGCAGUGCUGUGUCUUAGACCGCUGCGCCACUCAUAUUAAAAUUCUACUUAAACAGGACUCUUAACACAAAAUGUUAAUUGUAUUUUUUGAUCACAGAAACAAUAGUUAAAUAAAAAACAGAAAAUAUGGAAUAAAUAAAUGUUAAAUAAAGCAGCCGUGUAAUGAUCUGCAUUUGGAUAACUCACACCGGAAUCAGUCCGAGCUCAAUCCCCGCAUAAGUAAUACCAGCCAUAAGUAAUACUGCCUAAGGUGGCCCAGAUCCACUGUGCUAGCUGGGUUCUCACUCAUCAUUAUUCAUAGUACAUUCAGGAUUUUCCAUAAUCAUGGUAACAUCCACAUUAAUGUGUAAGUGUUUAGAAGCAUAUUCUGUUCUUAUUUACAAUAAAAGUGACCCCAAAAUGACUACAUUAUUUAGUGUUCAUUUCUGUUGGGCACAAGAUAAUCUGAAACACAACCAAAACAAACAGUAAAUGCAUCCAACAAAUUUGCAGAGGCACAAGCUUGAUGUAGUCAUUGCAUGCUAUGAAUAUGGGACCAAAUACUGAACUUUUUACUACUUUAAUGCACAUAAGUGAAUUUGUCCAAAUACUUUUGGACCCCUAAAAUGGGGGGGGGGGGACUAUGUACAAAAAGGGUUGUAAUUUCUAAACGGUUCACCCGAUAUGGAUGAAAAUACCCUCAAAUUAAAUCUGACAGUCUGGACUUUAACCUCAUAGUCAUUGUUUGAUUUUAAAUUUAGAGCCAAAAUGAAGAAAAAAUGCUUCACUGUCCAAUUAAUUACAGAGGGCACUGUAUAUUGAGGCAAAAAAAUGGACAGUAGCCAAAUAGUUAAAUGAAACUCAAUUGAAUGAACAUGAAAUAUCAUUGAAAGACAGUAUAUAGGCCUAUGUAGCCUACACUGUAGGUAGGCUUUUUUAUCCUUAGCUUGUUUGUAACAAUGGCAAAGACUUUGGCAUCUUUGUAUUUGUA
ensembl:lncRNA